GGAGCACCCGCAACUUCAGUUUAGACUUCCCUUACAGGUCCCGAUGGCGGACGCGAUCCCCUCGACUCUAGCUUCUUCGAUGUUGAUGAAAUUCUGCACCAACAAAAUUGACGCUAGAGGAAGGGCCACUGUGUCUUCGCAGUACCCUUGUUCUUAAAGGAGUGCUCAAUGGGACCGUCUCCGAUCAUCUUCUCCGACAUCUUCUUCUCCUUCUCCUGC
rnacentral:lncRNA from 1 species